rnacentral:lncRNA from 1 species
AGAAAAAAAAACAUAGCACUAAAAUAGCUUUCUUUUUCCAACUUCUCACGUGAAGGCUACUAGUAGCGAACGUCAUUCAAAUUCGCCCACACCAUAUAAUAUAUGGACACUUAAGUACUUAGGUUCACCCUAUGGACGAAUCUUUAAAUUCACCUUAUUUUUUAUAAUUAAUCAAAAUGACACAUAGAUUACUAAUUAAAAAACAUUAAAUUAAAUAAAAAAUAGUUACAAAAAAUAAAAACGCUAAUUUUAACGACGCUAACGCUUCCAGCUAAACUCUAAACCCUAAAUCUUAAAUUCUGAACCCUAUACCCUAAAUUCUAAACCCAAAUCCAAACUCCUAAACCCAAACCCUAUAUCCUAAACCCUAAUCCUAGACCCUAAACCCAAAUUAUAUACCUUAAACCCAAAAACUAGACUAUAAACCAAAACUCUAAACUCUAUACCGUAAACCCAAAUCCUAUACCCUAAAUCCAAACAGUAAAUCUUAAACCCAAAUUAUAUAUCCUAAACCCAAAACAUUAACUAUAAGUCCAAACGGUAAAUCCUAAACCCAAACCGUAAAUCCUAAACCUAAACCCUAUACCCUAAACCCAAGUCUUAGACUCUAAAC